rnacentral:rRNA from 1 species
ACGGCUCAGUAACACGUGGACAACCUACCCAAGAGUCAGGGAUAACCCCGGGAAACUGGGGAUAAUACCUGAUAGGCCAUGACAUCUGGAAUCGAGUUGUGGUUUAAACGUAAGGCUCUUGGAUGGGUCUGCGGCGGAUUAGGUUGUUGCCGGUGUAACGUACCAGCAAGCCUGUAAUCCGUACGGGUUGUGGGAGCAAGAGCCCGGAGAUGGAUUCUGAGACACGAAUCCAGGCCCUACGGGGCGCAGCAGGCGCGAAAACUCUACAAUGCAGGCAACUGCGAUAGGGGAACAUCGAGUGGCAUCCACCAUGGAGGUCUGUCCAAUCGUCUAAAAAACGAUUGUCAGCAAGGGCCGGGCCAGACCGGUGCCAGCCGCCGCGGUAAUACCGGCGGCUCGAGUGGUGGCCGAUAUUAUUGAGUCUAAAGGGUCCGUAGCCGGCUUUGCAAGUCCUAUGGGAAAUCCAGCGGCUUAACCGUUGGGCUUUCAUGGGAUACUACAUUGCUUGGGACUGGGAGAGGUAGGAGGUACUCAGGGGGUAGGGGUGAAAUCCUGUAAUCCUUUGGGGACCACCGGUGGCGAAGGCGUCCUACCAGAACAGGUCCGACGGUGAGGGACGAAAGCUAGGGGCACGAACCGGAUUAGAUACCCGGGUAGUCCUAGCCGUAAACGAUGCUCGCUAGGUGUCACGGCAGUCGUGAAUUGUCGUGGUGCCGUAGGGAAGCCGUGAAGCGAGCCACUUGGGAAGUACGACCGCAAGGUUGAAACUUAAAGGAAUUGGCGGGGGAGCAC